rnacentral:rRNA from 1 species
AUGAACGCUGGCGGCGUGCCUCAUACAUGCAAGUCGCGCGAACGGACGAGAAGCUUGCUUCUCUGAUGUUAGCGGCGGACGGGUGAGUAACACGUGGAUAACCUACCUAUAAGACUGGGAUAACUUCGGGAAACCGUAGCUAAUACCGGAUAAUAUUUUGAACCGCAUGGUUCAAAAGUGAAAGACGGUCUUGCUGUCACUUAUAGAUGGAUCCGCGCUGCAUUAGCUAGUUGGUAAGGUAACGGCUUACCAAGGCAACGAUGCAUAGCCGACCUGAGAGGGUGAUCGGCCACACUGGAACUGAGACACGGUCCAGACUCCUACGGGAGGCAGCAGUAGGGAAUCUUCCGCAAUGGGCGAAAGCCUGACGGAGCAACGCCGCGUGAGUGAUGAAGGUCUUCGGAUCGUAAAACUCUGUUAUUAGGGAAGAACAUAUGUGUAAGUAACUGUGCACAUCUUGACGGUACCUAAUCAGCAAGCCACGGCUAACUACGUG